UACGGAGGGAGCUAGCGUUGUUCGGAAUUACUGGGCGUAAAGCGCACGUAGGCGGCUUUGUAAGUCAGUGGUGAAAGCCUGGAGCUCAACUCCAGAACUGCCUUUGAGACUGCAUCGCUUAAAUCCAGGAGAGGUGAGUGGAAUUCCGAGUGUAGAGGUGAAAUUCGUAGAUAUUCGGAAGAACACCAGUGGCGAAGGCGGACUCACUGGACUGGGUAUUGACGCUGAGGUGCGAAAAGCGUGGGGAGCAAACAGGG
rnacentral:rRNA from 1 species